AUAAAAUACUCUUGAACAUGUUGGUUAUUGAUUUCAGAUGAAACUUAAUGUGCAGAGACAAAAUAUAUCAAAUGUAUCAAAUGGUGGAAAAAUAAAGAAAACAAAUUAACAUUUUGUAAAUCUCACAUUUGAGAUGUAAAUGAAGAAAUCAUCCACAAGCGAGUCUAGUCAUUGUCAGCAUUCUAGGGUGUCUGGGGGGGGUGUCCACUGAGAAUUGAUUUUCUUUUAAUUUACACAGUGAGUGCACUCACUGGUCUGUCCACUUGCUACAAUGAAGGGAAGAUUUUUUUGGUGUUUU